CCUACGGGAGGCAGCAGUAAGGAAUAUUGGUCAAUGGACGCAAGUCUGAACCAGCCAUGCCGCGUGAAGGAUUAAGGUCCUCUGGAUUGUAAACUUCUUUUAUCUGGGACGAAAAAAGGCGAUUCUUCGUCACUUGACGGUACCAGAUGAAUAAGCACCGGCUAACUCCGUGCCAGCAGCCGCGGUAAUACGGAGGGUGCAAGCGUUAUCCGGAUUCACUGGGUUUAAAGGGUACGUAGGCGGGCAGGUAAGUCAGUGGUGAAAUCCUAGAGCUUAACUCUAGAACUGCCAUUGAUACUAUCUGUCUUGAAUAUUGUGGAGGUAAGCGGAAUAUGUCAUGUAGCGGUGAAAUGCUUAGAUAUGACAUAGAACACCUAUUGCGAAGGCAGCUUACUACGCAUAUAUUGACGCUGAGGCACGAAAGCGUGGGGAUCAAACAGGAUUAGAUACCCUGGUAGUCCACGCCCUAAACGAUGAUUACUCGACAUUUNUGAUACACUAUAAGUGUCUGAGNGAGANAUAGUAUAACUACGUGUUAGAGACGCGAGUAGAAGUUAAGAGUAGAGNGNGNGAGNGCGAGCGCGACGAGGAGGAGG
rnacentral:rRNA from 1 species